rnacentral:snoRNA from 1 species
GUGGAACAGCUAUAAAAAAUGGGUCAUUUGGACGCUUACUUUUUCUGUCUGCCAGAGAAACAUUCCAAGGUGGUGUGGCCCCCUUGACCUGUUAGGGGUGAUACAGAUGUCUGGGAACACAGCA